UACGGAGGGUGCAAGCGUUGUCCGGAUUUAUUGGGUUUAAAGGGUGCGUAGGCGGGUCUGUAAGUCAGCGGUGAAAUCCAGCAGCUCAACUGUUGAAUUGCCAUUGAUACUGCGGAUCUUGAGUGGGACCGAGGUGACAGGAAUGUGUGGUGUAGCGGUGAAAUGCAUAGAUAUCAAGAGGAACACCUGAGGUGAAGACGGGUUGCUGGGCCAACACUGACGCUGAUGCGCGAAAGCCAGGGGAGCAAACGGG
rnacentral:rRNA from 1 species